AACGCCGUUGACCUUGCCAUGGGUACCUACAAAGAGAGAACGAAAAGGACAGAGAGCGAAAACAGUGGAAACAGCAGAAGCAACAAGAAAAAAUAUAAAAAAAUAAUUAAUAUGUAAUAUAUGCCUAUAAAAGCCAUAACCAUGUAUUGUAAUUUUUAACGAUGAUACAAGAAACGAUGCCGCUAACUCAGAGUCUCCUUUUGAGCAGGAUAUGUGUCCCGAGGAAUCUUAGGACUUUAAAGGUGAUCGAGAUUAUAACCUAUCUCCUGAUUUGUUAAGGAUGGUAGAACAAAAUGAGAAACAGAUCCUACCUCACAGGACUUUGAGUGUGAG
rnacentral:lncRNA from 1 species